rnacentral:rRNA from 1 species
AGCAGCCGCGGUAAUUCCAGCUCCAAUAGCGUAUAUUAAAGUUGUUGCAGUUAAAAAAGCUCGUAGUUGAAUUUCGGGAUUGACGUGACGGUCGUGCCUUAAGGGGUAUGAACUGUCGCAGUUGAUUUCUCACCUUCUGGAGAAGCUUGAUGUCCUUAAUUGGGUGUCAUGUGGAACCAGGACCUUUACCUUGAAAAAAUUAGAGUGUUUAAAGCAGGCAUUUUGCUCGAAUACAUUAGCAUGGAAUAAUAGAAUAGGACGGCAUGGUUCUAUUUUGUUGGUUUCUAGGAUCACCGUAAUGAUUAAUAGGGAUAGUUGGGGGCAUUAGUAUUCAAUUGUCAGAGGUGAAAUUCUUGGAUUUAUUGAAGACUAACUACUGCGAAAGCAUUUGCCAAGGAUGUUUUCAUUAAUCAAGAACGAAAGUUAGGGGAAUCGAAGACGAUCAGAUACCGUCGUAGUCUUAACCAUAAACUAUGCCGACUAGGAAUCAGACGAUGUUAAUUUUUAAUGACUCGUUGG